CUAAGAAAAAAAUCCACAUCUUCAAAAUAAAUAUUCAUCCAUUCAAUAUUAAUAAUAAUUCCGAGUAUUUUAAGCACCACUUGAAUCUUUUAUCAACUUUGUUCUCGAUUCACACUCUCUGUUUCCCUCUUUCUCUCACAUUUUAUGCUUCUCGAUUCACCGAAAUGAUUCCAAAUCAGGUGACUUGUGCGUAACUAGUAGCAGUAAAUGGAUUCCAAAAGAUAGAUUUUUACAUGCUUCUAGAAAAAUCAAGCUUGAUGGCAUUUCUACUUAAAUCAAACAAGUGUGGAUAGUUCGUAGAUCAAAUACAGUAGACAGGGAUAAUACAUCUAGAAGUACUCCCGCUUGUAUCAAAACAUGUGCUUAAUCUUUGUGUUUCUGUAAUUUGUAUGUCCAUUUUGAACAAUUAUGUGUGUUUACUUGUUAAACUUGAAUAAAUCUUGUUUGUGUGACAUUGUUUGUA